rnacentral:rRNA from 1 species
GUGAGGAAUAUUGGUCAAUGGGCGGAAGCCUGAACCAGCCAAGUAGCGUGCAGGAAGACUGCCCUAUGGGUUGUAAACUGCUUUUAUAGGGGAAUAAAGUGAGGUAUGUAUACCUUUUUGUAUGUACCCUAUGAAUAAGGACCGGCUAAUUCCGUGCCAGCAGCCGCGGUAAUACGGAAGGUCCGGGCGUUAUCCGGAUUUAUUGGGUUUAAAGGGAGCGCAGGCGGGAUUUUAAGCGUGUUGUGAAAUGUAACGGCUCAACCGUUGAAUUGCAGCGCGAACUGGAGUCCUUGAGUGAGUACGACGUCAGCGGAAUUCGUGGUGUAGCGGUGAAAUGCUUAGAUAUCACGAAGAACUCCGAUUGCGAAGGCAGCUGACGAGUCCUUAACUGACGCUAAAGCUCGAAAGUGCGGGUAUCGAACAGG